rnacentral:rRNA from 1 species
GCUACAGGCUUAACACAUGCAAGUCGAGGGGCAGCAUUUUAGUUUGCUUGCAAACUAAAGAUGGCGACCGGCGCACGGGUGAGUAACACGUAUCCAACCUGCCGAUAACUCGGGGAUAGCCUUUCGAAAGAAAGAUUAAUAUCCGAUAGUAUAUUAAAACCGCAUGGUUUUACUAUUAAAGAAUUUCGGUUAUCGAUGGGGAUGCGUUCCAUUAGUUUGUUGGCGGGGUAACGGCCCACCAAGACUACGAUGGAUAGGGGUUCUGAGAGGAAGGUCCCCCACAUUGGAACUGAGACACGGUCCAAACUCCUACGGGAGGCAGCAGUGAGGAAUAUUGGUCAAUGGACGAGAGCCUGAACCAGCCAAGUAGCGUGAAGGAUGAAGGCUCUAUGGGUCGUAAACUUCUUUUAUAUGGGAAUAAAGUUUUCCACGUGUGGAAUUUUGUAUGUACCAUAUGAAUAAGGAUCGGCUAACUCCGUGCCAGCAGCCGCGGUAAUACGGAGGAUCCGAGCGUUAUCCGGAUUUAUUGGGUUUAAAGGGAGCGUAGGUGGAUUGUUAAGUCAGUUGUGAAAGUUUGCGGCUCAACCGUAAAAUUGCAGUUGAAACUGGCAGUCUUGAGUACAGUAGAGGUGGGCGGAAUUCGUGGUGUAGCGGUGAAAUGCUUAGAUAUCACGAAGAACUCCGAUUGCGAAGGCAGCUCACUAGACUGUCACUGACACUGAUGCUCGAAAGUGUGGGUAUCAAACAGG